rnacentral:antisense_RNA from 1 species
GGGUGCUCGUGGGCUUUCUGCCAUGAGCAAAACCAGUCUUGCACCUGGUAGAAAGAACAAAGCCCCGAAAGUUAAUGUGAUUAACCAACGAGGCAAUGUACAUGUAUCCAACAAUACAAAUAUUAGCCUCUUCAUCAAAUGGAGGCAAUGAAAAAUGCCAAAAAG